GACGAACGCUGGCGGCGUGCCUAAUACAUGCAAGUAGAACGCACAGUUUAUACCGUAGCUUGCUACACCAUAGACUGUGAGUUGCGAACGGGUGAGUAACGCGUAGGUAACCUGCCUGGUAGCGGGGGAUAACUAUUGGAAACGAUAGCUAAUACCGCAUAAUAUUAAUUAUUGCAUGAUAAUUGAUUGAAAGAUGCAACUGCAUCACUACCAGAUGGACCUGCGUUGUAUUAGCUAGUAGGUGAGGUAACGGCUCACCUAGGCGACGAUACAUAGCCGACCUGAGAGGGUGAUCGGCCACACUGGGACUGAGACACGGCCCAGACUCCUACGGGAGGCAGCAGUAGGGAAUCUUCGGCAAUGGACGAAAGUCUGACCGAGCAACGCCGCGUGAGUGAAGAAGGGUUUCGGAUCGUAAAGCUCUGUUGUAAGAGAAGAACGGGUGUGAGAGUGGAAAGUUCACACUGUGACGGCAUCUUACCAGAAAGGGACGGCUAACUACGUG
rnacentral:rRNA from 1 species